GGUGUGAAGCAACACUGGGAUAGCUAAAAGCCACUCUAUUCUUGAUAGAGAAUCAUACUGUGCCAUUUGAAUGAUAACAAAACACACAACAGAUAUAGAGCUGACAGGGAAUAUUGAGCAGAGGAGAAAACAUUUAAGGAAAGAACUGAAUAAGGGGUUAUUUUUUCUAAAUUGCUGGAACACAACCAUUCCAUUGAACCCUGACACACUGACAGAAGUAUCAUAGGCCACUAAUCAGCAGUGUAAGAAAAGGUCAGAGCCCAAUCCAGCGGUGGAUCCUUCAUCUGCUCCUAGGAUGGAGCCACAGUCUGCAGCUACUACAGAUGCCAAGUGCAGCCAGAACUUUGGGGCCUCUCCAGCCACGCCUGCCAGCACCGUACUAGUUCCAGCCCAGAAGAUCCUUCUACCUUCAGACCCUGUGUACUCUACUGUGUGUUUCAAGGCCUGCAUGCUUUUACAGCUGUUGGUCAUUUACAGAAGAACAUUUCUCCCUGCAUGUGAACGGCGAUCUGAUGUCUCCUCAGCCGGACCAUGGUGAUGAAUCCUUUCUGACAGUCAGGACAGUGGUAAGGUCUCUCCCCUGUGUGUAUCAUCAUGUGCUGCGUCAGGUUGCAGCUCACACUAAACCCUUUACCACAGACAGUACACCGGUAGGGUUUCCCCCCUCUACUCAGGGGACCUGCCAGACAUCACCCCGGGUGACCCACCAGAAGGCACCCCUGAUGCUCCCUGUGACCUAGAUGUCAAUUUCCCUGCCCCCACCAUAGGGUAAGUGUCCCCUUCCUCCCGAAUAUGGGCAGAGUCAGAGUUUCCUUCCCCCAUGGUAGGGUCAGAGUUCCCUUCCUUCCUGGUAGGGUCAGAGUUUCAGUUUCCUGUGUACCUGAAAUGUGUAAAGUGUCCUGUCCCUCAAGUUGGUCCAGUGUAUCCUGCCCAAUGGUAGGUCUAGAGUUCCCCGCCUUCCUGGUAGGCCCAGUCUACCAUGGCCACCUUUCCAUUCAUACCCGACCCUCAGUCUCUGAAAAUAGUUGCAAGUUAAAACUUUUCUGACUUACAGUUGAAGUCGGAAGUUUACAUACACCUUAGCCAAAUACAUUUAAACUCAAUUUUUCACAAUUCCUGACAUUUAACCCCAGUAAAAAAUCCCUGUCUUUGGUCAGUUAGGAUCACCACUUUAUUUUAAGAAUGUGAAAUGUCAGAAUAAUAGUAGAGAGAAUGAUUUAUUUCAGCUUUUAUUUCUUUCAUCACAAUCCCAGUGGGUGAGAAGUUUACAUACACUCAAUUAGUAUUUGGUGUCAUUGCCUUUAAAUUGUUUAACUUGUGUCAAAUGUUUCGGGUAGCCUUCCACAAGCUUCCCACAAUAAGUUGGGUGAAUUUUGACGUCUUGAGACGUUGCUUCAAUAUAUCCACAUAAUUCACAUAAUAUCCACAUAGUCUCAGGAUGGUAAGUUGGUGGUUGAAAAUAUCCCUCUAGUGGUGUGGGGGCUGUGCUUUGGCAAAGUGGGUGGGGUUAUAUCCUGCCUGUUUGGCCCUGUCCGGGGGUAUCAUCGGAUGGGGCCACGGAUGGGACCCCUCCUGUCUCAGCCUCCAGUAUUUAUGCUGCAGUAGUUUGUGUCGGGGGGCUAGGGUCAGUCUUAUAUCUGGAGUAUUUCUCCUGUCUUAUCCGGUGUCCUGUGUGAAUUUAAGUAUGCUCUCUCUAAUUCUCUCUUUCUUUCUCUCUCUGAGGACCUAAGCCCUAGGACCAUGCCUCAGGACUACCUGGCAUGAUGACUCCUUGCUGUUCCCAGUCAGUCCACCUGGCCGUGCUGCUGCCCCAGUUUCAACUGUUCUGCCUGCGGCUAUGGAACACUGACCUGUUCACCGGACGUGCUACCUGUCCCAGAUCUGCUGUUUUCAACUCUCGAGAGACAGCAGGAGCACCCUCGACAACUACUGUGAUUAUUAUUAUUUGACCAUACUGGUCAUUUAUGAACAUUUGAACAUCUUGGCCAUGUUCUGUUAUAAUCUCCUCCCUGCACAGCCAGAAGAGGACUGGCCACACCUCAUAGCCUGGUUCCUCUCUAGGUUUCUUCCUAGGUUUUGACCUUUCUAGGGAGUUUUUCCUAGCCACCGUGCUUCUACACCUUCAUUGCUUGCUGUUUGGGGCUUUAGGCUGGGUUUCUGUACAACACUGAUAUAUCAGCUGAUGUAAGAAGGGCUAUAUAAAUAAAUUGUAUAUGAUAA